rnacentral:rRNA from 1 species
CACAGACAACCAGGAUGUUGGCUUAGAAGCAGCCACUCAUUCAAAGAGUGCGUAAUAGCUCACUGGUCGAGUGAUCCUGCGCCGAAGAUUUCCGGGGCUAAAACUUACUACCGAAGCUACGGCAUCAGUAAUGAUGGGUAGGGGAGCUUCACAUACGGGUUGAAGCAUGACCGUAAGGACAUGUGGACAGUAUGGGAGUGAGAAUGUUGGCAUGAGUAGCGAGAUGUGGGUGGGAAUCCCACAGGCCGUAAACCCAAGGUUUCCAGGGGAAGGUUCGUCCGCCCUGGGUUAGUCGGGACCUAAGCUGAGGCCGAAAGGCGUAGGUGAUGGACAACAGGUUGAUAUUCCUGUACUACCGAUAACCGUUUGAGAGAAGGGAUGACACAGUAGGAUAAGCUAAGCACACUGUUGGUUAUGUGUGCCCAAGCAUUGAGGCAGUCAAAGCAGGCAAAUCCGCUUUGAUAAUGCUGGGAUGUGAUGGGGAGCGAAAUUUAGUAGCGAAGUAGCUGAUUUCACACUGUCAAGAAAAGUCUCUAUCGAGGUUAAAGGUACCCGUACCGCAAACCGACACAGGUGGGUGAGGAGAGUAUCCUAAGGCCAGCGAGAGAACUGUUGUUAAGGAACUCGGCAAAAUGACCCCGUAACUUAGGGAUAAGGGGUGCCACCAUCCGGUGGCCGCAGAGAAUAGGCUCAAGCGACUGUUUACCAAAAACAUAGGUUUCUGCUAAGUCGCAAGACGAUGUAUAGGAGCUGACGCCUGCCCGGUGCUGGAAGGUUAAGGGGAUCUGUUAGAGCAAUCGAAGCAGUGAACUUAAGCCCCAGUAAACGGCGGCCGUAACUAUAACGGUCCUAAGGUAGCGAAAUUCCUUGUCGGGUAAGUUCCGACCCGCACGAAAGGCGUAACGAUUUGGGCACUGUCUCA